rnacentral:rRNA from 1 species
GGAACGAACGCUGGCGGCAUGCCUAAUACAUGCAAGUCGAACGAACACUUCGGUGUUAGUGGCGCACGGGUGCGUAACGCGUGGGAAUCUGCCCUUGGGUUCGGAAUAACAGUUGGAAACGACUGCUAAUACCGGAUGAUGACGAAAGUCCAAAGAUUUAUCGCCCAGGGAUGAGCCCGCGUAGGAUUAGCUAGUUGGUGAGGUAAAGGCUCACCAAGGCGACGAUCCUUAGCUGGUCUGAGAGGAUGGAUCAGCCCACGACUGGGACUGAGACACGGCCCAGACUCCGUACGGGAGGCAGCAGUAGGGAUAUGGACAAGUGGGACGCAAGCCGUGACUACCGAGACAA